rnacentral:rRNA from 1 species
GGGUUGUGAGGUUAAGCGACUAAGCGUACACGGUGGAUGCCCUGGCAGUCAGAGGCGAUGAAGGACGUGCUAAUCUGCGAAAAGCGUCGGUAAGGUGAUAUGAACCGUUAUAACCGGCGAUGUCCGAAUGGGGAAACCCAGUGCAAUUCGUUGCACUAUCGUUAACUGAAUACAUAGGUUAACGAGGCGAACCGGGGGAACUGAAACAUCUAAGUACCCCGAGGAAAAGAAAUCAACCGAGAUUCCCCCAGUAGCGGCGAGCGAACGGGGAGCAGCCCAGAGUCUGAAUCAGCUUGUGUGUUAGUGGAACGGUCUGGAAAGUCCGACGGUACAGGGUGAUAGUCCCGUACACCAAAAUGCACAGGCUGUGAACUCGAAGAGUAGGGCGGGACACGUGGUAUCCUGUCUGAAUAUGGGGGGACCAUCCUCCAAGGCUAAAUACUCCUGACUGACCGAUAGUGAACCAGUACCGUGAGGGAAAGGCGAAAAGAACCCCGGCGAGGGGAGUGAAAAAGAACCUGAAACCGUGUACGUACAAGCAGUGGGAGCACCUUCGGGUGUGACUGCGUACCUUUUGUAUAAUGGGUCAGCGACUUAUAUUCUGUAGCAAGGUUAACCGUAUAGGGG